rfam:Brachypodium distachyon strain Bd21 chromosome 4, whole genome shotgun sequence.
AAAGUGCUCCAUCCGUCACAUAAUUCUUGUCUCAAAUUUAUACCCGAAAAUGGAUGUAUCUAUUUCUAAAAAACGUAUAGAUACAUGUAAUAUUUCGACAAGAAUUAUGAGACGGAGGGAGUAUUUU